UGCCCGGGCAAGAUCCACUCGCAUGCCGAGCCGAGACAUCGCCACAAGCCACAAGAGACCGGGCUGACAUACCGCCAAAAGACCAGGCCGAGACCCGCCAUGAGUCACCGAGAUACCAGGCCACGGGGAAGGUGAAGAAACACAAACAGGAACCAUUGAUGUAAAGGGGAUGGAUGUUGCAUAUUUGUGAAUUGGCCAGCACUUCAGUGCAAAAGAUAAGGCUGAAGCAUUCAC